rnacentral:tRNA from 1 species
UAAAAAUUAGUUAAUUAAUAACAUUAGUUUGUCAAGCUAAAAUAAUCCCCCCCGAUAUUUUUAA